GACGCUCUCCCCAAGGACGAAGCCAUGCAUGCCCGCUCACCCGGGACGCGGCGGACGGCUCAGGACAACGGUUGCACCCCCCGCGGCGGUCCCUGCUAGCCGGACACCGCUGGCAACCCGGCGCCAAGACGUGCGCGCAAGGGCGGGCGCCCGCGGGCGAGCAGCGUGACGCAGCGACGGCCCGCCCGGGCUUCCGGGGCAUCACCCGGUCGGCGCGGUCGCGGCGCGCCGAGGGCCCGACGCCUGGCGGAG
rnacentral:rRNA from 1 species